rnacentral:tRNA from 1 species
GGAGCUGUGCCUGACAAUAGGAUUACUUUGAUAGAGUAAAUAAUGAAGGUGAAAGCCCUUCCAACUCCU